AUUGAACGCUGGCGGCAGGCCUAACACAUGCAAGUCGAGCGAGCGGCGGCCGGGUGAGUAAUGCCUGGGAAUUGCCCAGUCGAGGGGGAUAACAGUUGGAAACGACUGCUAAUACCGCAUACGAUUGGAUUGCCCAGGUGGGAUUAGCGAGUUGGUGGGGUAAUGGCUCACCAAGGCGACGAUCCCUAGCUGGUCUGAGCGGAUGAUCAGCCACACUGGGACUGAGAAACGGCCCAGGCUUCUACGAGAGGCAGCAGUGGGGGAUAUUGCACAAUGGGCGAGAGCCUGAUGCGGCGACGCCGCGUGGGGGAUGAGGGCUUUGGGGUUGUAAACCUCUUUCGCUAUCGAACGGGUAGGUGGAGAAGAAGCGCCGGCUAACUACGUGCCAGCAGCCGCGGUAAUUC
rnacentral:rRNA from 1 species